rnacentral:rRNA from 1 species
UACGAAGGGGGCUAGCGUUGUUCGGAAUUACUGGGCGUAAAGCGCGCGCAGGCGGUUUCUUAAGUCAGUGGUGAAAGCCCGGAGCUCAACUCCGGAACUGCCAUUGAAACUGUGAAACUUGAGGACGAGAGAGGUGAGUGGAAUUCCCAGUGUAGAGGUGAAAUUCGUAGAUAUUGGGAAGAACACCGGUGGCGAAGGCGGCUCACUGGCUCGUUUCUGACGCUCAGGCGCGACAGCGUGGGGAUCAAACAGG